rnacentral:misc_RNA from 1 species
AACUUUCGGCAAUGGAUCUCUUGGCUCUCGCGUCGAUGAAGAACGCAGCGAAAUGCGAUACGUAAUGUGAAUUGCAGAAUUCAGUGAAUCAUCGAAUCUUUGAACGCAUAUUGCGCUCUUUGGUAUUCCGAAGAGCAUGCCUGUUUGAGUAUCAGUAAACACCUCAACCUCCUCUUGUGUUUUCAAGAGGAGGGUGGUCUUGAGCUGGCUGAACGACCUACACCGGUAGGCGGGCGGCGUGAAAUGCAGGUGCAGCUGGACUUUUAUCUGCGCUAAAAGCAUAUCUAUUUAGUCCUCGUAAAACCGGAUUAUUUCUAUUGCUUCAGCUAACAUACAGGAUAAUCGCCCUCAUAGCUGACUGAUGCAGGAUUUUACCACACUUUAUGUCUUGUUCAACUCGAUCUCAAAUCAAGUAAGACUACCCGCUGAACUUAAGCAUAUCAAUAAGCGGAGGCU